rnacentral:lncRNA from 1 species
CCAAAUACAAAGACGAACAAUUUAUGAUCUUAAUACUCAUCUAAUCCUUUCCAAACCUUGUUGGAGGUGCUGAGAACCUUCUGCGUUUCUUUGUUUGGGGGUGAGAGGGGGAUGAAUUCUUUACUUUUUUGGCAGAUGUAUAUCAUGAGUUGCUAUUAAUGGUGUUUAGGAGCAAUUUGUGUUGUACUUUUUAUGUUUCACAAGCCAAGAGGGGGUAGGAGACGGGAGUGGAGCUGCAGGGCGGGUAGGGGGCAGGGGCACGACGACACAUGAUAGCAGUGUCGUGGCGGCGAGGAGGAGGUGGAGGUGAUGAGCAGCGGCCAUGGCGGUGGGUUGAAUAAGUUAGGGUUGAAUGAAGGGGAAUGGGAGGAAAAAGAAAAGUUGUGUUAUUUUAUUACGUGGAUUUUCAUGAAUUUUUUUCUUUCUUUUUUUAAUUCCACGUGUCUGCCAUGUUGGCACUUGGUCGGAACACGUCAUAUACCAGUUGUCGGAUUAUUUUUGCGGGUCAUAAAUAAGAAAAAAAGUGAAACGAUGGGUACUAUUUUUUAAUUAUGCUUAGGGUAGGAUAUUUUUGAAAAAACGUC